UGAUCCUGGCUCAGGAUGAACGCUAGCGGCAGGCGCCUAACACAUGCAAGUCGAGCGCACCUUCGGGUGAGCGGCGGACGGGUUAGUAACGCGUGGGAACAUACCCUUUUCUACGGAAUAGCCUCGGGAAACUGAGAGUAAUACCGUAUAAGCCCUUCGGGGGAAAGAUUUAUCGGGAAAGGAUUGGCCCGCGUUAGAUUAGAUAGUUGGUGGGGUAAUGGCCUACCAAGUCUACGAUCUAUAGCUGGUUUUAGAGGAUGAUCAGCAACACUGGGACUGAGACACGGCCCAGACUCCUACGGGAGGCAGCAGUGGGGAAUCUUAGACAAUGGGCGCAAGCCUGAUCUAGCCAUGCCGCGUGUGUGAUGAAGGUCUUAGGAUCGUAAAGCACUUUCGCCAGGGAUGAUAAUGACAGUACCUGGUAAAGAAACCCCGGCUAACUCCGUGCCAGCAGCCGCGGUAAUACGGAGGGGGUUAGCGUUGUUCGGAAUUACUGGGCGUAAAGCGUACGUAGGCGGAUUGGAAAGUUGGGGGUGAAAUCCCAGGGCUCAACCCUGGAACUGCCUCCAAAACUAUCAGUCUAGAGUUCGAGAGAGGUGAGUGGAAUUCCAAGUGUAGAGGUGAAAUUCGUAGAUAUUUGGAGGAACACCAGUGGCGAAGGCGGCUCACUGGCUCGAUACUGACGCUGAGGUACGAAAGUGUGGGGAGCAAACAGGAUUAGAUACCCUGGUAGUCCACACCGUAAACGAUGAAUGCCAGUCGUCGGGCAGUAUACUGUUCGGUGACACACCUAACGGAUUAAGCAUUCCGCCUGGGGAGUACGGUCGCAAGAUUAAAACUCAAAGGAAUUGACGG
rnacentral:rRNA from 1 species